AGAUAGAGAAAGAGGAUUGAAGCACACAAAGAUAUGUAAAAGCAACAGGAUUGGAGUUGCACAAAACAAGCUAAGAUUCCUUUGGUCUUCUAGCUUGUCCAAACCAAUUACCAGCCAGUUUGCAUCAUUUAGAUGGGUCAAUGUGCAUCACGUAGAACAAAUAGUAAUAAUAAAAAUGGAGGGAUUAGUGGUGGUGGAGGCUAUGUACAUUCAGAGAGGCAUCAAGGGUGCUUUGCCAUGGUAAAGGAGCACAAAUCCAGGUUCUAUAUUGCUAGAAGAUGUAUAGUCAUGCUUCUUUGUUGGCACAAAUAUGGCAAGUAUUGA